rnacentral:rRNA from 1 species
AAUUACCCAAUCCCAAUUCGGGGAGGUAGUGACAAGAAAUAACGAUACGGGGUCUUUACAGGUCUCGCAAUCGGAAUGAGUACAAUUUAAAUCCUUUAACGAGGAUCCAAUGGAGGGCAAGUCUGGUGCCAGCAGCCGCGGUAAUUCCAGCUCCAUUAGCGUAUAUUAAAGUUGUUGCAGUUAAAAAGCUCGUAGUUGGAUUUCAGUAUGGGCCAGUUGGUCGGCCGCAAGGCCUGUUACUGACUGGUCUGUUCUUCUUCUCAAAGACUGCAUGUGCUCUUCGCUGAGUGUGUGUAGGAUUUGGGACGUUUACUUUGAAAAAAUUAGAGUGUUCAAGGCAGGCUUGUAAGCUUGAAUACAUGAGCAUGGAAUAAUGGAAUAGGACUACGGUCCCUAUUUCGUUGGUUUCGAGGACCGAAGUAAUGAUUAAGAGGGACAGUUGGGGGCAUCCGUAUUUCGUAGUCAGAGGUGAAAUUCUUGGAUCUACGAAAGACGAACAACUGCGAAAGCAUUUGCCAAGAGUGUUUUCAUUAAUCAAGAACGAAAGUUAGAGGAUCGAAGACGAUCAGAUACCGUCCUAGUUCUAACCGUAAACGAUGCCGACUAGGGAUCAGUGGGUGUUAUUGUACGACCCCAUGGCACCUCACGG